UUGCAAAGGCACGUUUGUGGUGCUCUGGACUGCGCGACUCUGCCUACGCAAGAAUGUGACGUCACUGAUCUGCAUCCCAUGGACUUCGGACACUAAUAGGCCAUUUGAGAGUGGACUCUCAAUUCAGAGCCAUCCUAUGGCUCCUGCCCUGGCAACACUGGCAAGCAGGGUGGUUUGCAGCAAUCACCAUUCGGGAAAUAAUGGAUCCUUAUCACAGCAUGUUCCUUUGGCUAUAUUUAGCCACGUGCUGUGUGUGACACAUUCCUGCAUGGUGUUGCACCUUAAGAAGAGGAUGACGGCCUCACAGCUCCCAAAUAAAAGGUUUUUAAAGUAUGUUAAAAUAAACAUAGGACAAAUAUUUUUUGUACACAUGGUCUUUA